GAACUAGACCUAGCUCUCAACCUCAAAUCACUACUACAAUUGUUAAUAAAACAAAACAUUUACUAGACUAAGUAUAGGAGAUAGAAAAAUUAUAAAGACGCAAUAGAGUUAGUACCGUAAGGGAAAGAUGAAAGACAACUUAAAGUACUAAACAGCAGAGAUUCCCCCUCUUACCUUUUGCAUAAUGGACUAACUAGAAACCCUUGACAAAGAGCCCUGAAGCCAAACCCCCCGAAACCAGACGAGCUACUUACGGACAAUUGUCAGAAUGCACUCAUCUAUGUGGCAAAAUAGUGAGAUGAUCCUUAAGUAGAGGUGAAAAGCCAACCGAGCCUGGUGAUAGCUGGUUAUCCAAAAAAAGAAUCUAAGUUCAACCCAAAGCAUGCCUUUAAAACUCAUAAUUUUACUGCAAGCUCUGGAGCUACUCAAUAGAGGUACAGCUCUAUUGAACUAGGAUACAACCUGUAAAGGAGAGUAACAAUAAUAACUCAACAUAGUUGGCCUAAAAGCAGCCACCAAUUAAGAAAGCGUUAAAGCUCAACCCUAAAUAGCACACUAAUCCCUACAAUAACAACUUAACUCCCUAAAUAAUAUUGGAUUAUUCUAUUAAUUUAUAGAAGAAAUAAUGUUAGUAUGAGUAACAAGAAACAAUUCUCCGUGCACAAGCUUAUAUCAGAACGGAUGCCCGCUGAUAGUUAACGACCAAAUAAAAUUAACCCACCUAUAGACUAAUUAUUCCUAAUAUCGUUAACCCAACACAGGAGUGCAACCCGGAAAGAUUAAAAGAGUAAGAAGGAACUCGGCAAACACGAAUUCCGCCUGUUUACCAAAAACAUCACCUCUAGCAUUACUAGUAUUAGAGGCACUGCCUGCCCGGUGACAUUAGUUAAACGGCCGCGGUACUCUGACCGUGCAAAGGUAGCAUAAUCAUUUGUUCUUUAAUUAAGGACUAGUAUGAACGGCAAGACGAGAAUUCAACUGUCUCCUUACUCCAAUCAGUGAAAUUGACCUUCCUGUGAAGAGGCAGGAAUAACUAUAUAAGACGAGAAGACCCUAUGGAGCUUUAAUUUACCUAUCUACAAGUCUAUAAUAAAAUCUACUGAUACAACAUAAGACUUCCUGGAUAGAAGAUUUCGGUUGGGGUGACCUCGGAGCAUAAAACAACCUCCGAAUGAUAAUCUACUAUGAUCAACAAAUCUAAGUUACUAUAUCCAAUUGACCCAAUAAAUUGAUCAACGGAACAAGUUACCCUAGGGAUAACAGCGCAAUCCUAUUCUAGAGUCCAUAUCGACAAUAGGGUUUACGACCUCGAUGUUGGAUCAGGACAUCCCAAUGGUGCAGCAGCUAUUAAAGGUUCGUUUGUUCAACGAUUAAAGUCCUACGUGAUCUGAGUUCAGACCGGAGUAAUCCAGGUCGGUUUCUAUCUAUAACUAAUUUCUCCCAGUACGAAAGGAUAAGAGAAAUAGGGCCUACUCCACACGAGCGCCCUAACUUAAAUUUAUGAAAAAAUCUAAAUAUAUAAAAUCGCAUAAUAUUACCCAAAAUAAGGGUAC
rnacentral:rRNA from 1 species